GAUGAACGCUGGCGGCGUGCUUAACACAUGCAAGUCGAACGGGAAUGUUUCGCUGAUGCGAUUUCGGUCAAAUCUUGAAGCAUUUUAGUGGCGGACGGGUGAGUAACGCGUGGGUAACCUGCCCUGUACAGGGGGACAACAGUUGGAAACGACUGCUAAUACCGCAUAAGCGCACAGCUUCGCAUGAAGCAGUGUGAAAAACUCCGGUGGUACAGGAUGGACCCGCGUCUGAUUAGAUAGUUGGUGAGGUAACGGCCCACCAAGUCAACGAUCAGUAGCCGGCCUGAGAGGGCGAACGGCCACAUUGGGACUGAGACACGGCCCAAACUCCUACGGGAGGCAGCAGUGGGGAAUAUUGCACAAUGGGGGAAACCCUGAUGCAGCGACGCCGCGUGAGUGAAGAAGUAUUUCGGUAUGUAAAGCUCUAUCAGCAGGGAAGAAA
rnacentral:rRNA from 1 species